CUCUUAAGGCUGAGACACGACGUCGAGCUACUACGGUAGUGAAGUCAUUGAUGCCAUGCUUCCAGGAAAAGCCUCUAAGCUUCAGAUUGUAAGGAAUCGUACCCCAAACCGACACAGGUGGUCGGGUAGAGAAUACCAAGGCGCUUGAGAGAACUCGGGUGAAGGAACUAGGCAAAAUGGUACCGUAACUUCGGGAGAAGGUACGCUCUUGAUGGUGAAGUCCCUUGCGGAUGGAGCUGACGAGAGUCGCAGAUACCAGGUGGCUGCAACUGUUUAUUAAAAACACAGCACUGUGCAAAAUCGUAAGAUGACGUAUACGGUGUGACGCCUGCCCGGUGCCGGAAGGUUAAUUGAUGGGGUUAGCGUAAGCGAAGCUCUUGAUCGAAGCCCCGGUAAACGGCGGCCGUAACUAUAACGGUCCUAAGGUAGCGAAAUUCCUUGUCGGGUAAGUUCCGACCUGCACGAAUGGCGUAAUGAUGGCCACGCUGUCUCCACCCGAGACUCAGUGAAAUUGAAAUCGCUGUGAAGAUGCAGUGUACCCGCGGCUAGACGGAAAGACCCCGUGAACCUUUACUACAGCUUGGCACUGAACAUUGAACCUACAUGUGUAGGAUAGGUGGGAGGCUUUGAAGACGUGACGCCAGUUGCGUUGGAGCCGUCCUUGAAAUACCACCCUUGUAUGUUUGAUGUUCUAACGUUGGCCCCUAAUCGGGGUUGCGGACAGUGCCUGGUGGGUAGUUUGACUGGGGCGGUCUCCUCCCAAAGAGUAACGGAGGAGCACGAAGGUGGGCUAAUCACGGUUGGACAUCGUGAGGUUAGUGCAAUGGCAUAAGCCCGCUUAACUGCGAGAAUGACGGUUCGAGCAGGUGCGAAAGCAGGUCAUAGUGAUCCGGUGGUUCUGAAUGGAAGGGCCAUCGCUCAACGGAUAAAAGGUACUCCGGGGAUAACAGGCUGAUACCGCCCAAGAGUUCAUAUCGACGGCGGUGUUUGGCACCUCGAUGUCGGCUCAUCACAUCCUGGGGCUGAAGUCGGUCCCAAGGGUAUGGCUGUUCGCCAUUUAAAGUGGUACGCGAGCUGGGUUUAGAACGUCGUGAGACAGUUCGGUCCCUAUCUGCCGUGGGCGUUGGAAGAUUGAAGGGGGCUGCUCCUAGUACGAGAGGACCGGAGUGGACGAACCUCUGGUGUUCGGGUUGUGUCGCCAGACGCAUUGCCCGGUAGCUAAGUUCGGAAUCGAUAACCGCUGAAAGCAUCUAAGCGGGAAGCGAGCCCUGAGAUGAGUCUUCCCUGAUACUUUAAGUAUCCUGAAGGGUUGUUCGAGACUAGAACGUUGAUAGGCAGGGUGUGUAAGCGCUGUGAGGCGUUGAGCUAACCUGUACUAAUUGCCCGUGAGGCUUAACCAUACAACACCCAAAGGGUUUUG
rnacentral:rRNA from 1 species